ACCAGUCUGUCCUAUGGUGAGGGACAACCUGGGGAAACCUGGGCUAAUACCGCAUGAUGUCCGGACUUCGCAUGGGGACCGGACCAAAGAGGGCCUCUGCUUGCAAGCUCUCGCCAAAGGAGGAGGUCGCGACGUAUCAGCUUGUUGGUGAGGUAACGGCUCACCAAGGCUACGACGCGUAGCGGGUCUGAGAGGACGACCCGCCACAUUGGGACUGAGAUACGGCCCAG
rnacentral:rRNA from 1 species